ensembl:ncRNA mir-954 mir-954 stem loop
UACAAACACAAGAUUUUCUGGGUGUUGCGUUGUGUGUACCUGUGUACAGGCGUAUUCACAUGCAACAUCCCUUACAUCUUGCUUGAU